UAAGGAAUAUUGGUCAAUGGACGAAAGUCUGAACCAGCCAUACCGCGUGCAGGAUGACUGCCCUAUGGGUUGUAAACUGCUUUUAGUAGAGAAGAAACGCAGUCAUCUAUGAUUGCCUGACGGUACCAACAGAAUAAGCACCGGCUAACUCCGUGCCAGCAGCCGCGGUAAUACGGAGGGUGCGAGCGUUAUCCGGAAUCACGGGGUUUAAAUGGUGCGUAGGCGGGGAAAUAAGUAAGUGGUGAAAUCUUGUCGCUUAACGAUAAAAUUGCUCUUGAUACUGAUUUUCUUGAAUUAGGUUGAGGUUAGCGUAAUGUGACAUGUAGCGGUGAAAUGCAUAGAUAUGUCAUGGAACACCAAUUGCGAAGGCAGCUAGCUGGGCCUUGAUUGACGCUGAGGCACGAGAGCGUGGGUAGCGAACAGGAUU
rnacentral:rRNA from 1 species